rnacentral:tRNA from 1 species
GCGGGAAUAACUCAGUGGUAGAGUGUCACCUUGCCAAGGUGAAGGUCGAGGGUUCGAAUCCCUUUUCCCGCUCCA